rnacentral:Y_RNA from 1 species
UGCUGGACUGAGUGCGGUGGUAUUUACAGCUAAUUGAUUGCAACUAGUUAAAUAUUUCUUUGUUCUUUCUCCAACAGUUUCCCUUGACUGACUUUUU